rnacentral:misc_RNA from 1 species
UUGAUACUAGAAAGAAGCUCGUGAGGAAGAAGUACUCUAUCAAUCCGAACUGAAACAGUUCUUUCCCGGCGUAAAGACGACAUAACGGUCCCCCACUCGAUAAAGUGUAAGAUUUUUCUGAUCAGCAUCACCCCUCACUUUCGUCUUGGAUUGUCAAAACCAAAAGUACCCGCUUUUGUUUUUCACUCUCUCUUGCAGUAUUGCAAGGACCUUCCCAUCAUGACUGAAUCUGCGGUCUUCGUUACGGACAUUGCUACCACAGUGGUGGAUUUAUUCGCGCCCACAAACUUUAGUGACCGGAUGGCGAACACCAAUUUUCCCCUACUCGUGUACAGCUCUCCCAGAUACUACUUCAACGGCAGUCUAGACAAUGCCACCACUCCAGCUCCACCGGCUUCUUUUCCAGCGGCCUUUGAGACCACGGUGCGGAUCAUGGUGCCCACCAUCAUCGCCAUCAUCGCCAUCAUCGGGCUGAUCGGCAACGGCACGGUGCUCUACAUCAUCUUCCGGUACCGGGAGAUGCAGAACAUAACGAACUAUUUCAUCGCCAACCUGGCCGUGACAGAUGUGGCCAUGCUAGCUAUUUGUGCCAUUCCCACCGCAGCAAACAUAGCCGGGAUGCCGAUUGGCGAGGGACUGUGCAAGGGAAUCAACUACAUGCAAUUUGUGACCGUGCAAGCGACUUGUUGCACCCUGACAGCAAUGUCAAUCGAUCGGUAUCUUCUCAUUGUCCAUGCCGUUCGGUCUCGAAAUACCCGAACGACAACCAGGGCCAUCAUCAUCAACGUUGCUGUUUGGAUUGGUUCCUUUGUCGUGCACAGUCCAGUUGCCAUAUUCUACGUUCUGGAGAAUGAUAAAUGUUUUAUGAAGAUGGGACAGAAUGGGAGAGACGCCAGGUUCUACUACUUGGGCUCGUUUCUCUCAAUGUACGUGAUCCCCUUAGUCGUCAUCCUCAUGUGCUACGCUAAGAUUCUUGUUAUUGUGUGGCGGAAAACAUCAGCAGGCACCGAAAGCGCCCAGGCCCACGAGCGGUCCAUCCGCCAGAAGCGUAAGAUCACACGCAUGGUGUUCAUCGUGGUUCUCCUGUUUGCAGUCUGCUGGGCGCCCAUCCACUGCAUGAUACUCUGGGAGAAGUUCCAGGAGCCCUUCGAUCUCAGUAUGCCAACUCGAAUGGCUGUGACCGUCUUACGGUUCUUUGCGUUUUGCCUGUCCUAUGCCAACAGUCUAACCAACCCCUUUAUAUAUGCUUUCACGACGGCCAGUUUUAAGAAACACUUCAAACGGGUACUGUCCUGCUCAGCCCCCAACGAAUGCACGGACACAAAAAGCAUGGGUCCAUCCACCACAUACAAGAAGAUUGGCAAAUUUCUGGUCGAGUCCCCAACAAGUUUCAAAACAAGACAGCCUGCUCAGGACGUGUAGCUGCGUCGACCAUGGCGGCGCCACGUGAGCGCUUUGCAGAUUUAAAUUUGCCGCGUUCCCAAACGCUUUGACAGUACGUGAUUGUGUAUGUGCUUGUCCACACAAUGUGUUACAAUUAAUCAUAACAUUUGCCUAAAAUUCUAAAGAUCACAAGUGCGAUUUUACUACAUUGCAGAUUGUUGCAUUGUCAUGAGGCUUGAAAUGAAUUAAAUGAGGUUGCAACAAAUGUACGAUUUUGUAGAGAUAAGGAUUUUCUUUUAGGCUGAGUGUUUUCCUUACAUUUGAAAUAUUUCAAAUAAGGAAAAAGAUGCAGUUUGUGCAAGAGUAACACAUCUUUGGACAGCUCUCAAGAUGUACAUCUUUAUUUCUACCGCUACUGACUAUUAUGUGUAUUCCAACAGCUAUGGCGUUUUAUUGUUAAUGUUCAUAAGCAGUGCCUGUGAUUGUACCUGUUUUCUUAAACAAAAACAAAAACAAAAAAAAAACAAAAAAACACGGAAAAAGAAAAAUCUUUCAGGCUAUCAAUUGUUUUUAUCGGCCGACUAUUUCUAUCGUCUGUGUGAUCUGCAGCAUAUUCACAUUUUUUUUUCUUUGCUGCAAAUUGUCGUUUUAGUGAAUUUGAAGAAUUUUGCCUGAAAGAGAAAAUGUCGGAUAUUAUACCUGUACCUUCGAAAUCAUUGGAAAUCGAUAUCAUUAAUUCUGUAUAUAGUACAUAGAAUUAUACGUCCCAGGCACGGGUACUUUUUGUUUUCAUUUUAUACUAUUUUUAACCAUUUUCUUUUAAUGUAGAUACGUAUAUAUAUUCCACAUUAUCUUGAAGGAACAACAGUAACUAUGACAGUAGUUGUCUAAAUAUCUUGCGUUUGAGUGUUUACCUAGCUUCUCGUUAGUACAAAUAAUCAGUUUUGUAGCGUAAUCUUGCAACUGUACAUUUGUCAUUGAGUUGUCACAAAGACACCUCAACUGAAGCAAAGAAAAAGAACUCCAAUUUUCCAUGAACAAAUAAAUAUCAUUACAAGACUAAAUUACAUAAUCCUUGAAAACUGCGCACAUUUUGCGUUCUUGUAAAGUUCUUGGAGAAUUGGACCAUAUUUGUUGCUGAAUCAAGGCAAAAUAUCUAUCUCAAAAUAAGACCUUAUUAAUUUUUCUUUGCCUGAUCUAUAGUUUAUGUAUAUAUUUCUUUAUUUUAUUGAUAGAUCUGAAACAAUGAAGUUGUUCAGGGGCUGUCAAGGAAAAAACUAAAGUUAUAAGAAGUCCAACACUGAAAAAGAUAAGAAUGAACGCUUGUUCAAACCACACAAAAUCAUAAACACAAAAAGGACAAUCACAACAAUUCAACAUGUGAAAAUAUUCAAGACACUAGGCAUAACGGAGAAAAAGCCAACAAAAUGGCACUUUGAAAACAAUAAACGAAAGUAGAAAAUAUUACACACAGGAUAAAAAAAGAAAAAAUACUUGUACAAUUAAUUUUUAAAGAACUAUGUUCAAUUUGACGAAAGCUUUGUAAAUAUAAAAAAAAAUGUCUUUUUUCAGCGUAAAUAAUUUCUCCAUCUGGUGUGUUUCAUCUCAAAACAAUAACGUGAUUACACAUUUUAGAUUAGGCCAACAAGGCAUGGAUAAGGAUGUAGAAAUAAAAACAAAUCACUUAAGUGUCCUGCGUCAGUUACAUUAUAUGAUUUCAUUUACAAUAUAUGAUGGUUUAUAUAUAUAUGAGUGUCCUGCGUCAGUUACAUUAUAUGAUUUCAGUUACAAUAUAUGAUGGUUUUCGAGACCAUCGGUGGGGGGGACAAAAUAUGGAGCUAGUGAAGAAGACAACGCAAUGUCUGGAGACCGAUUGUUGUCUUGAUCAGUCCUUGAGCUUGAUUCCUACAUGCCCCCAUCCGGUGUAGUGAAGCUUGACUUGAUUGUCAAAAUCAGUCCCUAUAUUUGUACUAGUCAUACGAGAGAGGAAGUCUCGGUUAAUGACUCCAUCAACUCAGCUGUAGCGGACAGGUUUCUUUGAUCAGGUCUAUUUGAUGGGUUUAAUCAGACUUAAUGAAAAAUGUCGGUCAGUUAAACGGCAGCUUGCCGUUAGCCGAGAGUCGAGGAAAUGUAGGAAUUUGAUUUGACAUUACCUCGAGGCUAAUACCUGCAUCAAUAUUUCGGCUUCUUGUCAAAGAUGAGAUGUCUGAGACACGAAGCCCAUUUCCUACCGUCAUAUAUUCCCAGCUUUGCCUGCGUCCUCAUUGGUGACCGACUUUGGUGACGCAUUCUGUCUCGUGGUACUUCAGGGAAGAGAGAAACUUCCCACGUUCUCUUUUUUACAUGACACUGACAUGUCAUCAGCAUGGGAUGAUCAAUAUAAUCUCAACUACCUUCAAGUAGGGACACUAGACAUGGUAAUAUUCGCAAUGACAGCGUUAAAUAUAGACAAAUGACUAGGAGCAAAACCAUUUGCAAAUUGAGCACCACCAAUUACCUUUGCAUAUGCCUUUAGGGAGUUAGUACUGUUUCAGGGUUAACCCGAGUCCACUUUCAGAAGAAUGAAAAUCGUUUAAUUGUGAAGAAUUAUCCAUAAGCAACAGCAGAAUGAAAGAAAAUAUACACAUACUGUUCAGACAGACGAAAAACUAACGGACGGAUAUUGUAACACUGACUCUCAUGUUUUGGGUUUCCCUUUUUUCUUUUUUAAAUUAGUGAAACAGAUACAUGUGACUGAACUAACCGACAAUAACGAAGACGAUGUUUUGCCCCACUACGUUCAACAACUACUAUGGUGAAUAUUAUCCGUUGCUGUUUGUCAUUUUUUGACGUUUGACCAGAAGGUUUGAUCUUGGGACCUUUAAAUACCCUAGGUCAACUGGCCUUCCUUUGAUCAUACACACAGAGCGCUAAAUAUCGACAGCCUCGUUUGCAGUUUUUCUUUGGAGAUUUAAAGGUUGUCGAUAUGGCUGUUUAGGCACCUGUUUCUGGGCUGGUAAUGGUUGAUAUAUUAUAAGAACUGAGGCACGGAAUUUUUUUUCCACGGGGAACAUUACCGUCUUAAUCAGAGUGAUUCAUUCCGACAGAAAUUUUCCUUUAUCCCAGUCUGUUUCUUUCUUAUUGUCUCUUUUUGUCAUUGUAUUGUUUUGUCAAUGUCAUUGUUUUUUUCAUUGUUUCUGAAUCUUUUCAGUCUUGGGAGAAACUGUGAAUACAAUUUUCUGACUGGAACACAAACUGUAAAAACAGUUUGAACGCGUGGUGGGCCAUUUAAAAGAAAUUUAUCGUUUGCUUGGUACCAGCCGAUAGAUUUUUGUUUUGUCUGUUCGCUUGUUUCUUGUCCUUGAAACAUAGGUAGAACAGGGUCACUCCUCUAGACUUGGUGUGUAUGAUAUUGUAAUGAAUCUUGAACAUGAGUCGACCUUUGACCCCCAAAUGCAUCUAAGAAAUAAUGCCACUGUCCUAUAGUAGCAACAAAGUAUGUAGUUGACCCAGAAAAGGAAUGACCAAUUAUCUGCGCAUUUUCUUGUUGAAGUCAAUAUUGUGUAUUACAGAUGAAACUGGACAUAUAUAAUCAAGGGUGCUGGCAAUGUGGAAAAAAGUCUAGCUUUGUAGACACUUUUGUCUCACUGAUCGUUCUUCAUAAUUCGGUUUUAGGUACUUAUUAUCCACGAAUUUCAAUGCAUUAAGCCACCUUCCACAAAAUGGGCUGGUAACUGAUAAUUUGGCGUUUUAAAUAAAGGUUUCGUUGUCAUUGUUAUUGAGAAUAAGAAGAAACAAGUCUGACCACUUUUAAUGCUUGACGCUGUUGAUUAUUAGAAACCAGAUAGAAAUAUUUUAUGUUGACUAUGUAAUUAUGUGCAGAAUGCAAAUCGUAAUUUAAUGACGCGCCAGUUAUCAAGUCUAAGUGGAUGAAAAUGUGAAUAACACACGAUUGUUUAAAUAA